rnacentral:rRNA from 1 species
UAUGUCCUACGGGGGGCAGCAGUGGGGGAUAUUGCACAAUGGGGGAAACCCUGAUGCAGCGACGCCGCGUGGGCGAAAAAGUAUUUCGGUAUGUAAAGCCCUAUCAGCAGGGAAGAAGAAAUGACGGUACCUGAGUAAGAAGCACCGGCUAAAUACGUGCCAGCAGCCGCGGUAAUACGUAUGGUGCAAGCGUUAUCCGGAUUUACUGGGUGUAAAGGGAGCGCAGGCGGCACGGCAAGCCUGAUGUGACAGACCGCGGCCCAACAGGGGGA